UAGAGAAGAGAUUCAGUACUUCUCUGGUACAUGGGAAUCACAAAAUGGGAAAUGAGAAGCUAUCACUGGUCAUAUUUCUUGUUCCAUGGAGAAAGCAAGUCUUCAGUGAAAGAGAAUGAAGCCAACUCUCUGAGAAGAACAGAGAGUGACGCAUCAACAGAGGACAUCAGAAAAGGACAAUCGUGCCCAGGGAUGGCUCAGGAAUUAGCUCUCUCAGCAUUGCACGUGAAGUGGUUCAGCAGGAAAGCUGUUGAGUUGCUGCUGCUGCUGAAGAAGGGACUCAGAUACUAAGAAAGAGAACAAAUCUGAAAUAGCAGAAAAGAUACAGCUGCUCUGGCCUAAAUGCGGAAUCCUUUAAUACUAUCUUCUGGAUGGUAUACAUGUGUGUUUACUCAAGUCUCAGAUUUAAUUGGAUUUAAAUAAGAAUCUGAACACAAUCACCCAGAAGGCCUGACGUACAUGAGAGAGGAGUGAGAGGUCGGCGAAGACACAUCCUGUCUGUUCCUGGGGAAAGCAGAUUCAAGCCUUCCGCACCUGCAUCUUCUGCCCCUGCUGGUAAAAAGCUCCUCCUUAUCCUACUAAGCAACAAAUAUGCAUUUGGAAAGUCUACAUUCAGCCGCCCCCACCUUUACCCCCACCCCAAAAAAGAUCAACCAAAUGCUGUAGUUUGGAUUUAUUUCCUUUGUUAUCUAUAUCAAGCAUGAUAAAAUGCUUUGUUCUAUUUUUGGCUCUCAUGAAGAGCUGCUUCACUUUCAGUAUAACUGUAAAGCUAAAAUGUGGUUGGGACUCGUGCCAUCACUUUGCAGGUUGAGGCUGGCACGCACACUCAUGGAGCCUGAUUCUUUCCCUUCUAAUUACAGCUCCCUGCCUGCCUGCUCUUUGAGGAGGCUCUUAGAAGGCAAAGGGUGACCCAGGCAUUAUGGCCUCACGGUCUGAGUAUAAAGGCUUCAUAUGCUCAUGGUUAACUAGGUCUCUUUUAAUCCUGGAAGUAAAUUACAUUUUUUGAAAGAACAUAAUAGAACUCUUAAUUAAAAUAUUAGCCUCUAAUUCUAAAAAGAGUCCAAUCAUUGUCAAAAGAAUGAAAAUGAACUGUACGUGGCAACAGAGAAGUUGAGGAACCAUCCCAGAAAUGAAGACUAAACGAUUAAAUACAUCGUGCUCAGGCAAGAGAUAUACAAUAUACCUUAAGAAACAUAGUAUCCCAUAGGUAAACAAGAUGAGACUCAUCUGACUGAGAGUAUUUAUAUAUCUACAGAAAUAAUGGGUUAAUAAGUCUGUUGAUAGCGGAGCAUAAACAUGGCAGUCACUGGGGCAAAUAUUGGCUGUGCCCAUUAGGAACUGUCCACCACGGAAUGUGUCUUUUCAGUCUCGUCCAUAUUUAUUUGUAGAGGAGAAUGAACCCAGUUAUCACAACCUGAUGCCUCUAAACAUUUGAAUCAUACAAUUAACUCCUUUGCUCUGAUUCCAUGCCUACCCAGCAACUCUCUGAUUAUAACUUGGCUCUCCGUGUAAUUCGUCCAUGGGGGAGAUACCAAUGCUUGGCUGCCAUGGCCAUUAUUGUUUCUCAUUGAAAAUUAACAGUUGUUAAUUUUCUCUAACAGUGUUAGAGAUUUGAGCCUCCUGGGGCUCAGUCUGCAUGAAUUAGCCUCCACUGAUUGUCAGGGUCUGAGAAGAUGGGGUGUCUGGAGGCGCCAUGCUGAUGGCAAGAAGAGAAUUCACUCAAGUAGUGGCUCUUCAUGCAACCAGCAGUUUACCAUGGCAACGCCUUGACUGCCACAGGAGGCUUUCUUGUGACUUUUUACUCUCUUUCCGCCCUCUAGGCUUCAAUCCCUUUCCCCUGAUCUGCCCAUCUAACCAGCCAGCAAAUCCUAGGGACUCUGCUGUGGCCACGCCUCCUACUUCGUUUCCAGGAUUUGUGUCUUCACUUCUCUGUCUAGACUAGCACUUCCCAAAAGCCAGUGCAGAAACUGGCUGCAUCACAAUGACUAGUCUGUGAAGAGUAAACACAUGAACGCCAGGGCCCCACUCCAGAUUUCCUUAUCAGAAUGUGCCGGGGUGGUGUCCAGGAAGCUGCUUCAUAAACUCCCUGGGUAAUUCUGAGAAGCAGCCAUAUUUCAGAAUCACUAUCUAGAUGAAUGGUUCUCCAACUUGGUUACAAAGUAGAACUGGUCUUAGAAAAUAGCAAUGACUAGGCUUUUCCUAGACUCUUUCAGAGGUGGAGAUUGAGCACAGUUACUUAAAAAACUCCCUCCAGGUGAGUCUAAUGUAUCUUGAAGGCUGAGAACCAUUGGCUCAGACCUGUGAUCCUCCAAGUGUGGUACCAAGUCGAGCAGCAACAACAGCACCCUGGGAACUUGUUAGAAAUCUAGAUUCUCAGAUCCUGCCCUAGACCCACUAAACCAGAAACUCUGGGGACCAGCCAGUAAUCUAUGGUUUAACAAGCCCUCUGGGUGAUUUUGAUGUGCCAUUGGCUUAAACUGCUUCCCAAAGCCUCCUAAUUAACUUCCUGUGAGCAGUCUUUCUGUUCCUCAAGCCAUCCUCCACAAUAACAAUAUUUCUACCUUGUCACCCUUUGCUCCACACUGCCUACCGAAUCCUUACCCUGGCAUUCAUGGCAUUCUCCAGUCCAGCCCUCCAGUCCAGGUUUGUGUUUCACCAAUGGCCUAGGAGAAACCAGACUGCUCGCUGAUUCCCAGACACUGGGUUUUCCCAUUUGGCUAAUGCUGAUUCUUUUGUAAAAAUCCUAGAGAACAGGGACCACGUUCUCAAACACCAUAGUCUGUAACACAGCGUUGUUCACAGACUUGCCCAUCAACACAGAUUUGCAGAGUGAGUGAGUGAUUUUGUGCUAAUCUUGAACUCUCCUCUACUUUAUCACAGGUUCUCUAUUCAACCUGAAGAACAACUCACCCUAAACCCUUUUGUUUGUUUUUCAGCAUUAAAGCCCAUCAGGGUGUGCAUAGUAUUCUCAGUUUCCACGCUAAACCAAACCAUCAGUUCAGUGCACUGAGAGCCCCGUGGGGCUGGGUGACUGAAAGGGGGGCUCCUGGGGAUGGAUGAUGUUUUAUUUCUUGAUGUGGUGCUGGUUACAUGUGUUCCCUCUGUGAGAAUUCAUUAAAGUAAACACCAAUGAUUUGUGCAUUUUUCUGCACGUAUGUUUUA